rnacentral:rRNA from 1 species
CGCGACCCCAGGUCAGACGGGAACACCCGCUGA